UUUCCUGACCCGGUUGAUGGUAUGGUCUCAGAAACAGUUGUGAUGGCCCAGGGCCUGGCAUGAGUGACCAGCUGGGAAACGGGAUGGCCCAUGAGACAUAGGAAGUUUCACAGGAAUUCCUCAGCAGAGCUGGGAAUUGAUCACAGAUCUGUAGAGUCUCAGGUGUCUUUUGAUACAACCAGACAUUUUAGUGAAGGAGCCAUAAGAAAGAGAAGCCUGGAAAGACUAAAGCUGCAAGAACAGGAGCACGUUCGAAAAAGGGGGAAAAAAAGAGAGGGGGUUGAAAGAAAAAGACGUGGUGA